UACGGAGGGUGCAAGCGUUAUCCGGAUUCACUGGGUUUAAAGGGUGCGUAGGCGGGUAAUUAAGUCAGUGGUGAAAUCCUGGAGCUCAACUCCAGCACUGCCAUUGAUACUAUUUAUCUUGAAUAUUGAGGAGGUAUGCGGAAUAUGUCAUGUAGCGGUGAAAUGCUUAGAUAUGACAUAGAACACCGAUUGCGAAGGCAGCAUGCUACUCAUAUAUUGACGCUGAGGCACGAAAGCGUGGGGAGCGAACAGG
rnacentral:rRNA from 1 species